rnacentral:rRNA from 1 species
UACGUAGGGUGCAAGCGUUGUCCGGAAUUAUUGGGCGUAAAGAGCUCGUAGGCGGUCUGUCGCGUCUGCUGUGAAAACUCAGGGCUUAACCCUGAGCUUGCAGUGGGUACGGGCAGACUAGAGUGCGGUAGGGGAGACUGGAAUUCCUGGGUGAUAGCGGUGAAAUGCGCAGAUAUCGAGGAGGAACACCGGUGGCGAAGGCGGGUCUCUGGGCCGUAACUGACGCUGGAGGAGCG